AUGUUGACCAAGUAAUUACUUACCAAACAAAUACGUCAAACUAUGUAAUUAUGCUCAAUUACACCUAAAUCCAUUUCCAAAGUGGAUUUCCAAACAUGCUGUAACUCAAAAUCGUGUCGAAUCUCUGAAGGAGCUCUGAACUCGGUGGCUUUCUCACGCCGGUCUCUUUCUCUUUCACCCUCGCCGGAUUUGAAAGCUUCCUCAGACCACCCAUCGCCGGGUUCAACCCAAAACUUGGUGUUGGUGUUGGUCUUGGACUUGACCCUUUCUCUCAGCAAAUCAUUGAAUCUUGGCUUCAACAACCCCACCUCCUUCAACAAACCACCUUGCCUCUUACAGUUGAUCAAAUUCUCUAGGGAUGCACUUCGAUUCUGAAACCCACGAAAGUGUUGAACAACCUCCGGAAGAAGAAGGCACCGACAGAUCCAACUAGAUGGGUUGAGGACCGGAUAGAGACUAUACAUGGCCGCUACAAGAUCAAUUUGGAGGAGUACACUCAGAGCUUGCCACCGAAUGAGCAAGGCGAACGACCACCCAUUUCGGACGAAGAGAGGAGAGGAUAUGGUUGGAUACUGUCGGUGGUCCUAAAAAGGGGAUAACAUAUGGCCUUUCGGAUAAAUCAUUUCGGCGCUACUAGGCUGGAUUGCAAGGUAUAGGGACUUCCGCCCAAGGCGAGGCGAUUGAUAGUUCGACUAUAUCGUGUAUGGAAAGAAGAUCGCAAAGCUGACAGCAAAGCUUGAAGAGACCAAGGCUAGAGAAAAGAAGAGAGUUGAUACCCUUCAAGUUCAGCUAGAAAAGAGGGACGAACAAUUUGAUACCCUUCAAACUCAGCUAGAAAGGAGGACCAAACAAUUUGAUCUCCUUCAAGGUCAGCCGGCCAAUCUUCUUGCUAGUGGUGCUUUCUCUAUUCCCGGUCUCCUCCUCCUUUCCCACGUGCCGACGAUGAAGGUCCUAAGACUGAAGAUAGAGAUGAUGCUACAUAAAAAACUCAUUGAAUGUUGUGUAUUGUUAAACAGAGUUUUGAACUGUCAAUAUUUUGUUGUUGUUGGUUAUUUGAAUGAUGAUUAUAUUCUUAUUUUGUUA